UUAACAGGACAUAUUCAAGAUGAUAUUCCUUGGUGUAUGCUUUUCGCAGACGAUAUAGUGUUGAUAGAUGAAACUCAGGAAGAGGUAAAUGCGAAGCUUAACCUUUGGAGAGAAGUGUUGGAAUCUAAAGGUCUUCGCCUAAGCCGAUUAAAGACAGAAUAUAUGGAGUGCAAGUUCAGUGCAAAUGGAGGCCAAAAUGAGUUAGGGGUGAGGAUCGGAGAUCAGGAAAUACCAAAGAGCGAUCGUUUUCGCUACUUAAGAUCUAUUUUGCAAAAAAACGGAGAAUUAGAUGGAGAUCUUAACCAUAGAAUACAAGCUGGAUGAAUGAAGUGGAAGAGUGCAUCCGGCGUGUUGUGUGACCGCCGUAUGCCACUGAAGCUCAAGGGAAAAUUUUAUAGGACGGCAAUAAGGCCAGCGAUGCUGUAUGGCACAGAAUGUUGGGCGGUGAAGCAUCAACACGUACACAAAAUGGGUGUAGCGGAGAUGAGGAUGCUUCGUUGGAUGUGUGGGCACACGAGAAAGGAUAAGAUUAGGAAUGAGGAUAUCCGAGGUAAAGUAGGAGUAGCCGAAAUUGUAGGAAAGUUGAGAGAAAAUCGGUUACGGUGGUUUGGACAUGUGCAAAGAAGGCCUACUAACGCUCCGGUUAGAAGAUGCGACUAUGGGACAGAGGUUCAAGGCCGAAGGGGUAGAGGAAGACCUAGGAAAACUUUGGAAGAGACUAUAAGAAAAUACUUAGAGUAUUUGGAUCUAAUGGAGGACAUGACACAUGACCGAGCACAAUGGCGUUCUAAGAUUCAUAUAGCCGACCCCACUCAGUGAAUAAGGCUUUGGUGUAUUUAAUACAAUACGUUGGAAAUAAAGCAAAGCUUAUUUAUUGAUAUCUCUGAUAAGUUACAAAUAUGUACAUAUACAUGAGUCAAAAUAAACAAACAAGAGGGAGCCUUCACAAAGGUUGCUUAUGAGAAGUCUUAGCAGUCGGUAGAGCCCCAGAAAGAGAAGGCAUCGGAGGGGGAUCAUUCGGAGCCUCAGUACUGGACAGAACCCUAGAAGGAGGAGGCAUCGGAGGUUGAUCAUUUGGAGCUUCAUUAUGCGGUACAGCUUCAGAAGACGAAGGCAAUAAAUGCCUUUGAAAACAAACCCACAAACCGCUCUGAUGAUCAAGUAAAAACCUGACCAUCAGAUUCCUUCAUCUAGGUCAAGCUUCCUCUUCAUGUUUGUAGCAUAGUUAUGUGCGAGCCGGUGCAACUGUUUAUUCUCAUGCUUGAGCCCUCUAAUCUCCUGUUUGAGACUCAUCACUUCAGCCGCCAAUGAUUCAACUUGGCGGGUUCGAGCAAAUAGGCGUUGGGGCCAUAUUAGACACAGAACCUGCACACUGAAUACUCAAAGCCAGAGAAUCCUUAACAGCCAAUUCAUCAGACCGUUUGGAAAGUAGUCUGUUAUAUUUGGGAGUGAGAAGGUUCCUAGCCACCACCGCAGCGGUCAUAUCAUUCUUCAUCACGGAAUCCCCAACGGUAAGAGGACUAGUAAGGGAUAAGAAGGAUGGGCGCCAUAUGUUGUCUGGAGAAGGCGUGGCUGCCUCUUCAACAAGGUUCAAGUCAAAACCAUGGUCGGAGGGGCCAGAUAUUUUCAAAGGUGUUGAAGAGAGAAGAGGUCGGACAAAUCAAGAUCUUAGAAGUGCAAGAAGGGAGCUUCUACUGGUGAAGAUUCAAGUGUGUUUUGAAACUUAAUGCCAGCCUCUAUAACAAUCUGCACUCGACGGAGCUUUAGAAAUCGAAGAGGCGUCUGCCCAGAAAUCGAAGAGGCGUUUGCUUUCUCAAAAGAUGGGCUGCUCAGAAACCACGAGGGCCGAUCUUAGAAAUCGAAGAGGCGUUUGCUUUCUCAAAUGCUAAGCUGCUCAAAGACCACGAAGACCGAUCUCAGAAAUCGAAGAGGCUUGCUUUCUCAAAAGCUGGGCUGCUCAGAGACCAUGAGGGCCGAUCUUAGAAAUCGAAAAGGCACCUGCUUUUUUCAGCCUUGUCAGCACCUGUCAAAUGCACACUUAGCUUUGCUGAAAAUUACGGGCACUCUGUUGAAGAUUUCUGGUGAAGUAGAAAGCAUGUGAAUCUUACUGUUCAAUCAUCCCACUUUUCCACACGCAACCAAUAGCUCAGGGGUACCACAGAUAACUUUGCCAAAGAUUCUCUGACAAAGUUUAGACACGUGAAGCUUGCAGCUCCCACUACAUCGCUAUGACCAAGAAGGGUAAAAGAAUAGCAAAGAAACAGCACUAACAAAGUUUAGACACAUAAAUUUUGGAGGUCUAGCUAUCAUAUUAUUACCCACAAGGGUAAAGGAACAGCACCACUGCUGGAUAAUUGGAAAGUCCCUGUGUGUCAACCUCUGUGCUCCGUGGCAAGGUAGACUAGCAAACAUGCCCUACCUUUACUCACAUUCGAGAAAACACUCCCAACAAGAUUGCUUGCUCCAAAAUCGAAGAGGCACCGUUCCUCCGAAUCUCGAGAGCCAAGACUCCCAACAUGAUUAAUUUCUCAAAAAUCGAAGAGACACCACUCUCCGAAUCUCGAGAGCCAGACUCCCAGCAGGAUUACUCUCUCAAAAAUCGAAGAGGCACCAUUCUCCGAAUUUCGAGAGCCAGAUCCCCGACAGGAUUACUUGUUCGAAAACCGAAGAGGCACCGUUUUCUCAACUUCGAGAGCCAGAUCUCCUUGGAUAAAGCUUGUCUGUAAUCUUCACACGCAACAUCAGCUUUCCAGAUACCACAGACCACUUUUUCAAAGUGCUCUGACACACGUGAAGCUGGCAGCUCCCACUACCGUGCUAUGACCAAACAGGGUAAAUGAAUAGCAUUACUACUUGUUGUUAGGGAGACUCCUAUAUAUGUCGACCUCCAUCCUCAACGGACAGGCAGACCUACAAAAAUGCUUAACCCUUCCUCAUAUCUGAGAGGGCACUUCCAACGAAGCCUCUCGAAAUACUCAGCUUUCUUUCACCCCGAUAAUACCUCUGCAAACAAGCUACACCAGAGCAAGAAUAUCUCAUAUCAUCAGGGUUAAAAGGAAAAGUAUCCCAUAUCAUGCUUUUUCCCUGUCUUUUCCUUUGGCCUUAUUCUUACCUACAAGACAAGAAGAAAGAGAGCAAUCAGUCAGCACUUGGAAUCAAGCUUCCAGUUAGGAACUGACUGCCUGGAACCCCUUACCUGAUUACUUACCUGGCAUUGCUCUUGAGUACUCAUCUUCAACAUCUUAUGCUUCUAGAGAAGAUACCACAUCUGCCUGAGGAACCAAUAGGGAAAGUAAGAAGGAUACAAGGAAUCAUGUGGAGACAAGCGUAACAGAACGCGUGCCGAUACAUCCACUACUUUGUCAACAACAAAAAUAUCCCAUAUCAGCAGGGUCGAACGUACUCUAGAUUUGAUGGACUUGUUUUGACCCUCAAAUUCUUCAGUCGGCCUUAUACUCUGGAGGAAACUAGAAAACCCUCCAGCCUAGUUCAAGAAUAAGCCUGUGGAAAGUUACUUCUUCAAAAGCAAAAGUAUCUCAUAUCAUCUAUUCUCCUUUUCUUCUCUUUAUCCUUCAUGCUGCCUGCAAGAUAGGGAGAAUGAGAACAAUCAGCCGGAACUCGAAAUCAAACUUCUGAUCUGGGACUGAUUGCUUGGAGCUCUAAUUGCUUACCUUAUCUGUCACCUCUUUCAGCAGAUCCCUUAGCUCGGCGACUUGGGGGACUCCUACUACAUGUUUUGUAUCGCGCUUGACCAAGCCUGAAACUACAAGUAAGCUUCAAGUGAAAUUGAUACAUUACCUUGUGCAUCUCCACCAGUUAAAGAUACCACCCCUGGAUGGAGGAAGAGUACUUCCAGAGAAGAUGCCACAUCUACCUAUGAGACAGAUAAGGCAAGUGAAGACGAUACCACACUUCGGUACUUAGAAGUUUCGUGAUUACGAGAUCAUUCUCCCACAAUAUUUCCUAAUGUCAUUUGUACUCACUAAAGGAGAGCUUGAACCUAUGUACUUGUGUAAACCCUUCACAAUUAUGUUUGCUUUCCUGUCUUUAUCCUUUUACAUACUUAUCCACACUAAUGACCAGAGCAAUAACUUAAUACUUUCUGUUGUACCAAAGUCCUCACUGAUUUUGUGCAUCAACAAUCCUUAAGUCCUUACCCUUUUGCGUUGGUAAUGGAUGAGUUAACAAGACAUAUUCAAGAUGAUAUUCCUUGGUGUAUGCUUCUCGCAAAUGAUAUAGUGUUGAUAGAUGAAACUCAGGAGGGGUAAAUGCGAAGCUUAACCUUUGGAGAGAAGUGUUGGAAUCUAAAGGUCUUCGCCUAAGCCGAUCAAAGACAGAAUAUAUGGAGUGCAAACUCAGUGCAAAUGGAGGCCAAAAUGAGUUAGGGGCGAGGAUCGGAGAUCAGGUAAUACCAAAGAGCGACCGUUUUCGCUACCUAGGAUCUAUCUUGCAAAAGAACGGAGAAUUAGAUGGAGAUCUCAACCAUAGAAUACAAGCUGGAUGGAUGAAGUGGAAGAGUGCAUCCGGCGUGUU
rnacentral:lncRNA from 1 species